rnacentral:rRNA from 1 species
AUUGAACGCUGGCGGCAUGCCUUACACAUGCAAGUCGAACGGCAGCACGGGGGCAACCCUGGUGGCGAGUGGCGAACGGGUGAGUAACAUAUCGGAACAUACCCUAGAGUGGGGGAUAACGUAGCGAAAGUUACGCUAAUACCGCAUACGAUCUAAGGAUGAAAGUGGGGGAUCUUCGGACCUCAUGCUCAUGGAGUGGCCGAUAUCUGAUUAGCUAGUUGGUGAGGUAAAGGCUCACCAAGGCGACGAUCAGUAGCUGGUUUGAGAGAACGACCAGCCACACUGGAACUGAGACACGGUCCAGACUCCUACGGGAGGCAGCAGUGGGGAAUUUUGGACAAUGGGGGCAACCCUGAUCCAGCAAUGCCGCGUGAGUGAAGAAGGCCUUCGG